UUAAGAAUCAAGGGUGGGUUGACUACAAAAUUUUUGUAGUUCGCUAUAACUACAGCUACUUCAAAAAUAUGUAGUCAGCUACAACUACUGCUACUUUUGAACAAAGGUAGUUCGCUACUGACUACAGCUACUGAUUAAAAAAUGUAGCGAACUAUUUCGCUAUUUCGCUACUCUAUAUUUUUUUGGUAUUUGGUAGGUAUUUGGAGCAUCCACUAGCUCAGGCUGUAGUAUAACCUAUAACACAUCGACUUACAGUAAACAAAAAGGGUCAAAGCAACAUUUUUGUAAGCACUACAGUGUUCAGGAGUGCCACUUUUCAUUGCGCUACAAUAAUCUUUACUGUAUAAAAUAAUCUUUUAAGCAAACCGUGUCUUAAUAUCAUUCUCAUUCUAUCAAGUUGCUAAAAAUUUUAAAAAGCAGCGAAUAGCGAUUCGCCGUUUGAAAGGUAGUCAACUACUUGGCUACUCUUAGGCAAAAUGUAGUUCGCUAUAACUACAACUACCGUUUUACAAAAGUAGUCAAAAACUACUGGCUACUUGAAAAUUGUAGUUCGCUACAGUAGCGAACUACAACUACUUCGCUACUAC